CUUGCGGUCAUAUAGCGUUGAAACACCUGUUCCUGUACGAUCAGCGAAGUUAAGCAACUUCGAGCCUGAUCAGUACCUAGAUAGUUGACCUCUUGGGAAUAUCAC